rnacentral:rRNA from 1 species
GAUGAACGCUGGCGGCGUGCUUAACACAUGCAAGUCGAACGGAAAGGCUCCUGCUUGCAGGGGUACUCGAGUGGCGAACGGGUGAGUAACACGUGGGUGCUCUGCCCUGCACUUCGGGAUAAGCCUGGGAAACUGGGUCUCAUACCGGAUAUGACCAUAUUUUGGAUGGUGUGGUGGACCGUUUUCCGGUGUGGGAUGGGCUCGCGGCCUAUCAGCUUGUUGGUGGGGUAAUGGCCUACGAAGGCGUCGGCGGAUAGCCGACCUGAGAGGGUGUACGCCCACAUGGGGACUGAGGUACGGCCCAGACUGCAACGGGGGACAGCAGUGGGGAAUAUUACACAAUGGGCGCAAGCCUAGUGCAGCGACGCCGCGUUGGGGAUGACCGCCUGCGGGUUGUAAACUCCUUUCGCUAGGGACGAAGCGGAAGUGACGGUACCUGGAGAAGAAGCACCGGCUAACUACGUG